AGCCCCUAUACCCAGGUUGGAAGUCCCAAGACUUACGUUAUAUUGCAAGACUGCUACGGACCUCCACCAGAGUUUCCUCUGGCUUCGCCCUGCCCAGGCAUAGUUCACCAUCUUUUGGGUCUUUUU